CCUCCUUACUAUUACGUCGAGACGCCCUUGAUGCAGUGCCUACACAGAUUGUUUUGUUUAUUUAUAAAGACUCGCUUCGCGAGUGUCGCGAAUAGCUGCUUAAACGGGAGGAAACCUUCCUGACAGCCAUUCUGCUCGCUAAAGUGGUAGUUGUUUUUAAAUAGAAUGCUAAUCAAUAACCUCGUUAUUGAUUAGUGUUUUUUUAUAAUGCACUAAUGUUCUUUAACAAUUUGGAAAGCUGAUAUUAAUAGUAAUCAAUCAAAAGAGUAAUUGAGAAGUCGAAAGACGCACCUUUUACUCUACUUGACUUGAAUUGCUUGUUAUCGAAAACGCCGCAAGGCGGGUUAAUCGGCAUGUCCGGUUAACAAAGAAGAUAGCAAGGCAAUUCUUCCGAUUAGCUUGUCAUGCAUACAACAUUACCCUUGUCCGACA
rnacentral:misc_RNA from 1 species